CCUACGGGGGGCUGCAGUGGGGAAUAUUGGACAAUGGGGGCAACCCUGAUCCAGCCAUGCCGCGUGUGUGAAGAAGGCCCUCGGGUUGUAAAGCACUUUCAGUGAGGAAGAACGCCUGGUGGUUAAUACCCAUCAGGAAAGACAUCACUCACAGAAGAAGCACCGGCUAACUCCGGGCCAGCAGCCGCGGUAAUACGGAGGGUGCGAGCGUUAAUCGGAAUUACUGGGCGUAAAGCGCGCGUAGGUGGCUUGAUAAGCCGGUUGUGAAAGCCCCGGGCUCAACCUGGGAACGGCAUCCGGAACUGUCAAGCUAGAGUGCAGGAGAGGAAGGUAGAAUUCCCGGUGUAGCGGUGAAAUGCGUAGAGAUCGGGAGGAAUACCAGUGGCGAAGGCGGCCUUCUGGACUGACACUGACACUGAGGUGCGAAAGCGUGGGUAGCAAACAGGAUUAGAUACCCUGGUAGUC
rnacentral:rRNA from 1 species